GGCAGAGGCGGAGGAUCCUUCCUGUGUGGAAGCCGCAGAUCCCGGUGAGCCCUCUCACCUGGCGCUCUCUCCAUCCUCGGCGCGAUAACCAUGGCAGCAGGCUGCGAGGGCAUCGCGCCCCCGACCCUGGGCGAGAGAACUGUGGGGGAGGAAGGUGAACCUGUCAAACCUUUUACACCAGAGAAAGCGAAAGAGAUUAUAAUGUCUUUACAGCAGCCUGCAAUCUUCUGUAACAUGGUUUUCGAUUGGCCAUCACGACACUGGACUGCGAAACACCUUUCGAAGGUCUUGGAGGGCAAGCAGAUACGGUUCAGAAUGGGCCUGAGAGGCACAGGCACAGUUCCUCAGUAUGAAACCGAAUGUAGUUAUGUGGAUGCGACGCUCGAGGAGUUUUUGACCUGGAACUGUGACCAGUCUAGUAUCUCUGGACCAUUCAAAGAUUAUGAACAUUCUAAAUUCUGGGCUUACGCUGACUAUAAGUAUUUUGUUACUCUGUUUGAGGACAAGACAGAUGUUUUCCAGGAGGUGGUGUGGUCUGACUUUGGGUUUCCUGGAAGAAAUGGACAAGAAAGUACACUGUGGAUCGGGUCCUUUGGAGCCCACACUCCCUGCCAUCUGGACUCCUAUGGUUGCAACUUAGUAUUCCAGGUACAAGGAAGAGAACAGAGAAGUUUGUUGAAACACAGAGGCUUCACUGCGGCCCUUUGGAUGUUGACAGGUGCCAGGAAGCCUGGAUCAGGAAAAGAUGGCAUCUCUUUCCUCCUGAAGAUACGCCUUUCCUUUAUCCAACCAGAAUUCCUUACGAAGAGUCUAGUGUGUUCAGUAAAAUCAAUGUUGUCAACCCUGAUUUGAAGUGUUUCCCCCAGUUCCAGAAAGCUCGAAGACAUAUGGUCACGUUGAGCCCAGGACAGGUUCUGUUUGUUCCCAGACACUGGUGGCAUUACGUGGAGUCUCUUGAUCCUGUCACCGUCAGUAUAAACUCCUGGAUUGAGCUGGAAGAGGACCACCUAGCGCGGGUGGAGGAGGCCAUCACCCGCAUGCUCGUGUGUACACUGAAGACUGCAGAGGACCCGCACCACCCCAGGACCUGGCUGAACCCCACUGAGGUUGAGGAGACAUCUCACGAGGUCAACAGCUGCUACUUGAACAGUGCUGUUUGUGCCUUUUUUGAUCAUUGUGAAAAAGCUAAAGCAGUAGAGUUGCAAGUGCUGAGCGCAAACGGGGCGGAGCCACGUGUGCAGGAGGAGCACAUGGAAGUGGAGCAGGCCCAGGGCCCGAGCCUCACAUCGAGGGCUGAGAAACAGGAGGCCGUGAGCCUGUUUGGCCCAGAUCUGAUCCCUGUGACACCAGCAUCCGAAGAGAGAGGAGGCGCACUGGAAGGCGACAGCGAAGAAUCUGUCAGCAGUAAUGGAGGACACUUUGCAGAACUGCCCUGUGCCAGGAGACAGCAAACCAGCAAAGGGGCGAGCGCAUUGACGGAGCCCUUGGCCCCGAGGGGUCCUAUGGCGCAUUCUCGAGUCUUCGUGUCCACAGAUGACUUGCUGGACUGCCUAGUUAAUCCACAAGUAACCAGGAUGGUGGCCCAGCUUUUGAUACAAGGAAAAAGCUGUGAUACUUUCUAGUAACUUUUUAAUUACUUUUUAAUAACUUUUAAAAUAUAUUUUUAGAAAUAAUAUGAUAUACGUGUAUAUUUGCUUUUUAUGAUUUUUUACUUGCUCUUUGAAUAUGUCAUGUAUAUACUGUAUAUUUUGAUUACAUUCAUGCUGCACUGCACCUCCAGCCACUUCCAAAUCCCCUUUGUCCCAAAUUUUCUCUCUUUAUUUAUUUACUUUUUUUUCACAACCCAUUGAGUCCAGUUGCUGCUAGCCAGAUACAUAUAAUAUGGCUAUCCACUUAGCCCUGGUUAACCAGGGUUGUACCACUGAAGAAAACUCAACUUUCCUUCUGGACGCAGCCAUCAAUAGCUCCUUAGCUAGCGCUGGGAGCCCUUGUGUCCACAUUAGAAUAUUGACUGGCUUGCUCUUGCACAGGCGACCACACUAUAGCUGCAGAGUUCACAGGCAAACCGGUUCUGUCCUGUCCACUCCAAAAGCCAUUGCUUUGCCUCACCCCUCCCUGAUCUCUGACCUGUAAAAACUCCCAGCCCCUCUUUCUCCAGCUUCUUUUUCCUUUCCCUUGGUAGGGAACAGGGGGGGUUGAAACUGGAUCCAACUAUGUAGCUCUCUCUGGCUUUCCAGGAGCUCUCAGUAUAGACCAGGCUGGUCCUGAACUCUCAAGAGAUCCACCAGCCUCCACUUCCAGGGUGCUGGGAUCAAAGGCGUUCGCCACCUCCCUGUUUCUCCUGGCUCUGUGUUAGCCAGCAUUCACUGUACAAAGUGCUCCUUGGGUAAGGAAGGAUCAUCUAGAAAGGACCCAGAAGGCAGUUUGAUGUUUUGUUCAUUUAGCAAAACGAUAGGAGUAGGUUCACUUCCAGGCCUCACAAGCCAGGGGUCCUGGCUGGAUUGAGAGUUUGUUUUUACAGGGUCCCACUGUAUACCUUAGACUGGCCUUGAAUUCAAGAUCCUCUGGCCCGCCUCCCCAAGCGAUGGAUUACAGGUUUACACUACCAAGGUUGGUUCUCAAUAGUAUGAUUCUAAAAUAAAGGAUGGAACAGGAGGUGGUGAGUUUGUACAUGUUUAUAAAUGUGCUUUCCCCAAUAAAAUGCCACUGUGGUCACCUCUUUCCAGCACAUCGCUCAGUAGCCAAACUAGCUAGCUCACAUUUGGGUUGGUCUUGGUUUGUUAGGUAAGACUCGGCUGCAAAGCAGUCUGAAAGGCUGAGGUCCUCUGAAGUGGGGUAGAUGGGCAUGGCUACAGAAUGGCCCCAGCGUUCGUUCGGCAUCGCUUGAGCGUCCUGUUCAGACAAUUUUGGCAGGCUGCAGCGCUCUCCAUUGUUACAAACACUAAUCAAGUAAGACAGCUUUCCUCUGGUUUUAAAGGCACACAAGCAUUUACGUUUCAUUACUUUAUGAAGCUUCUCAGGAGGCACAGUUUCUCUGCAUACAUAGGGUUGUUACAGAAUGGACUCAGUGUCGACUGGGCUCAGAGAAGCUGGGACGGUCUUCUGCAGGAAGUCUUUCUUUCAUGAGAAGGAAGUAUCUUAUUGUCCUGUAGUCUUAGAGGUUCACUGCCUCGGUCUGCUAACCCAGGCCUACGCCUAGGCCUGGAAGCUUCUAGCCUCUGUACAAUCUAAUCUAAGCCUAGAACGUUUUCAGCCUCUGAGCCUUACUGCUGAAUAAGCUCACCCUUUCCUAGUUCUUUCUGGCUCAAACUCCUCUCCAGGCUGACUGAACCAAUCUAGCUUCUCUCAGUUUCUCCUGAGUUGCUCUGCUUGGCUUCAGAUUAACUCUGGCAAUCUGUUCUGAUCUUCUGGCUCCUUCUCAUUCUCUGGCUAGUUCUAUCUUCACCUAUGUCUAGCUUGUUCUCUCUCUGCAACCUGUCUAUACUACUGUCCUGGUAAACUGCCUCAUUCCCCUCUCUGCAUUGUCCCUUAAGUAGCUUCCCUUCCUCCUCUCUUCUCACAAGAGUUCGACAUAUUCUAUUCUGUCAAGUCUUUCUCUGAUUCAUCACUUUGCCACUCAAUUAGACAUCACUUUCAAACAUGGAUAGUUUCCUUCUACAAACUUAACUUUACCUACAUCGUUUGAGAUUAAAGGUAAGUACUAAGGACGUGUCUAUACACCAUCAAAAGGGAUUAAAAGCAUGUACAAAGGGUUGAACCACACCACAAAUAGAAACAGGCUUUUUUUUUUCCAGUUUAUAACUCAAAUCUCGAUGGGGGUUCGUUCAUGGUGUGAUUAAAUAUCCUGCAACAAUGUCUGUAAAAGUGGGUGGUAGGAGAUGAGUCCCUGAUUUUGUAGAGGGCAAUUACGAGGUCCUGGCUGAUUGCAAGGGCAUCCGAAUGGUAAGCACCGUGAAAACGCUCAUGAGCUGUUCCCACAUCACCCUGCAUCUCCAAGGACCACAUCUGAGUCAGGAAAAUCAACUGGUAAGUACUCUGGCUCUGCAUGGGCCGGCAGAGCUCAGACGCAUGCUUAGUAUCGUCCAAUACUGAAGGACAAGUCAGUAGUGCUCACAUACCCACGUGGUGUUCAGGAGGCAUGGUGGACUCCAUGAGAAUGUUUUAAUUUUUUUGUUUGUUUUAAUACAUCCAUGAAUGUAGCAGUAUAGUUGUAUAGUCUGGAUUUUUAAAAAAAUAUAUUUAUUUUUACUUAAUGUGUGAGAAUGUUUGCCUGCAUGAAUUGAUGUGUGCAGUUCCCUCACAGGUCAGAAGGGGGCAUUGGCUCCCUGGAUCUUUAGUUACGGAUGACCAUAAACUACCCUGUGGGUGAUAAGAACCAAACACGGGUCCUCUACAAGAACAGUGUUCUUAAACACUGAUAAGUAAGCACUCUGUCCAUCUCUCCUGUCCCUGAGUUUAGGUUUGGUUGGUUGGUUGGUUGUUUUUCAUUGUUAUCUUUUAUUAUUUUACAAUAUAUUUCAAAAACUGCCAUUAUAGUUGCCUUGAGUUCUCUGAGAGCCAUAGAACACCUAGAUACACAUAAACAUAGUCUGAUAUACCAACUGACCUGGACCAUCACUAAAAAAGGGGAGGGGGCUAUAUAUAGUUUUUAAAUAAAUGUGUGACAAUGCAAAAUAAAAACCUGUU